CUUGACAUUCUAUAAAACCAAUGGAGUCCCAUGUAUGAUGUUGCUGCUAUCCUAACGUCAAUUCAGGUCUAUACUCCGAGGACUGCGCCUUAUGCUAGUGAGGAAAUUGAUGUGGUUCGUGAGCAAUGGGCGAAGUUUUUUUACCAGCAAGUAUUUAUUAUUGACCUGAGGAAGCUUGAUCGAGUUGGUUUAGAUGUAUAGAACAAUCUUUUAUGUUAAAAUGCAUGCGUACGUUGAAAUUGGAACGUAUGUAUAUUUAAAUGUAUUAGUACGUGCACUUUGGUUUUGGAAUAUAUACAAAACUACAGUUAUUGUUUAUAUAUUUGUUAUACAGGUUGCGAUA